rnacentral:lncRNA from 1 species
GUCGUACCUGAUGGUAGGAGGCAGUAGUUCCCCGCUUCCCUUCCGCGGGAGGGAGAGUUAGGUAAGCCCCGCUGGACGCCCUCGGCGUCUCGCCUCACGAGGUGCAAGCUACCCCCGCGAAUUGCCGAAGCAGCCCUGAGCCUUGGCGCCCCGACCCGCCGGCGCUCGCCGUCAGCUCAGCGCCACUCUUCCGGCGUGCCCUGAUGGACAGACCCCCUUUCGGAUCCGAGUUUUCGCCUCUGUCCCCCAGUUUUCCCUUGUCUUCAACUCCCAUGCUCUUUGAUCCUGCCUCUCAGCUGGUUCCUCGCUGCCCACGCUUGCGCCGGCGUAGGCUCGGGCAGAAUCCCGAGGGACCCGGGUUGGGGUGGGGCUGCCGGUGAAGGUGCGGCGAUGCCCGCGAAGGCUCCUCUGGGUGCCGCUCGGAAGAGCCUUCUCUCCGCUGCGGUGCGUAGCGAGGUGGGCCGGGUCAUGCCCGUGGCACUUCUGCAGGCGUCCUGGGGGCACGCCAGGGCCUAACCGGUGCUGGUUCCCUCUUUGCUUACUCUGGUUCCUUCAUUCAUUCAGCAAACAUUUGAGUUUGGGUCCUGCUCACUGUAUUACAUCCACAUCUGCUGCUGGCAGCUGCGAUUCCGAGGGUGGCUCAGAAAAAUCGCUGAAGGGCUAUCUGUUGAGAGAAUGGAUUCCUGAUCCCCUUGCCCUCCCUCAAUCAGCUUAAGAUAGAAUCUAUGGGAAACUUUCCCUUUGUCCCUUCUUGCCAUCCGUUUGCUUUUCAUGCCUAGUGUAUUUCCUUAUACCAGAGAGAUGGCUGUAGCGCAUGGGACCUUGGACCACCUCACCUGUUUGCCGUGUUUCCUUAUCAGUAAAAUAUCUGCCUUUGAAAAGCAUUGGGUGAAUUAAAUGAGAGCUAUUAGGAUAAGGCCCAGGUUCGCCUUUCUGCUUUUCUCACUAGUGGGCGCCCCUCCGCCCACGCGCGCGCGCGCGUGUGCGUGUGUGUGUAUAGUAUUUUUUUUUCUGAGAUAUUUCUAUUUUCUGGAAUAUUCUCCAUAAUGUAACAUAUUGACUGUUACUUUAAAUUAAUAAAGUCCUUGUUUAGCAGUACAAUUAGUCAGCUCUCAGGUAAUUUAAAUACGUGUAUUUUAGAGACGGUAAUUUUUUUUUCCUCCUUCCGUUCGUGCUCUACUUUUGGUUGGAAUUUAACACCUGUAACAGACGUUGUCAUCUUGGUAUUUCUGAAGCAUUGGGAUCCCUUGGUUUAGUGUGGUGCUCUUUGAACUCUUGAUUCCACUGGCCACCAUUUGAGUAUUGGAAUGUGCACUUGGUGUCAUUUGGCAUUUGCUAGAAGAUGUGAACUACUGUAAUGUUAGACAAGAGUAAAAAAAAAUACCAACAAUUCAGCCUAAGUAUAUUUGUGGAGUUGUUGGAAUUAUAACCUAUGCAUUCUAGAAACCGCAUAAAUAAACUUUGGUUAUAAUUGCAACAGGCAGUAGAUAAUUUAAUCCACACAGUUGAUUUCAUCUCUUUGAUAUUGGCCAAAAAAGUUUAAAUGAAUUGCUUUAUUGGUCCUAGGACAUGACCCUUUUGCAGAAACCAGUCACAAUAUUUAAGAAAUUAGUAAAUUUGUUCUUUUUAGGCUCUGAGAGAUGUUUGUACCAUAUUAAGAAAAUCAAAGGUAGAAUAGAAAGCUAAGUCUGUAUGUGCAUCUACACGUCUGCAUCUUUUGUGUUUUGAAACAAAUACAUUGCUCAUAGAAAAUUGACUUUAUGACCUAUUUUUAGGGGUCAAAACAUUUAAGACAAUGGAAAAAGUCGUUAUUGCAUAUGCUCUUCUUUUCUUGUUUUUUGUUAGCUAGCCAUCCAAGAAAACACCAUGAAAGAUAACGAUAUCAAGAGACUACUGUAUACCCAUCUUUUAUGCAUAUUUUCAAUUAUCCUAAGUGUCUUCAUUCCAUCACUCUUCUUGGAGAACUUCUCAAUAUUGGAAACACACUUGACAUGGUUGUGCAUCUGUUCUGGUUUUGUAACUGCUGUCAAUCUAGUACUAUAUUUAGUAGUGAAACCAAAUACAUCCUCUAAAAGAAGUUCAUUAUCACACAAGGUAAGGCUUAUGUCUCAAUAACUGAUUUUUGGAUGGAGCUAGUGUUUCUUUUAAUGGAAGAAUAAAGUAUUCAUCAAGUCUUUAUUAGCUUAUUUAUAGUGAGCAAAGGGAACCUGAUAUUUUUCCCCCCAAAUUGGUAGGCUGUUACUUGGUGGAAGGCUGCCCACAAUGUUUGAUUGAUCCUUGCCUUGCAUUAAUUAUGGAAUUAUGACUUCUUCAGAGCAUAUUAUAAUAUUGUGAGCCUAUAUAGUCAUUGUUUUAUGUCACCAUUGAAAAUAAAUACGUGUGACAGUCUAUCUUUAAACCUUACUCAAUAAGACAUUGCAGUUUAUUUUUAUUAUUUUUGCAUUUCUGAAAGCCACUUAGUGGGAUUUUCAGAAAUUGCAAUAUAAGCCUGUGGUAAUGCUUGUUUCCAACAUGGCCUUCCUUGACUAAACAAUUUUCAGAUAUUAGAAUCAAUUUUCCAGAAUAUUCACUGCAGUAGAUAUUCACUUGGCUAUUACUAAUAAUGUCCACACUUAACAUUAUUUUCUACCAUGUAUAAGCUCUGUUAGGUCAUUUACUGCCUAUGAUUGGAAAAGCUGAAUGUAUGUGUUAUGUUUAUAUAUUCUUAAGCUCCAAAUCAAGAAGAUCUCAUGUUUCUUUGUAGAUGUUCAGGUCUUUUUUCAUACGGGUUGUGUAAUAUGAGUGUGAUUUCAAGAAUUAUUUAGUAUUUUGCUUUUUCAGUGCAGUUUUCCCAGGAAUUUUGUUUUAAAAUGAAAAAAAUUGUUAUUUUCUGCAGAUAUUUCCUCUAUCAUCGCAUAAUACUGUAUUUUUUGUAUCCUAGCUCUCUGAUGUCAAUCAGUAUUUGAUAAAUAUUGAUUAAUGACAUAGCUCUAUAUUACCAUGGAAACAGAACCUCUUUUCGACUCAUGUAGGUCGGAUGGGUAGAAUAUGGGCGGAAGGUGGUAUUUGCCUUUUAGGCUUUUUUAGUCUGUAUCGAAGGCUGUGUAUGUGACGGUACAGGACAUGUGAUCUGAUUUGAGUAUACCCAAGAACAUUUGAACUGUUUUACACAUUAUGGGAACAAGUUGUGUUUGUAGAUGAAAUGGAAGAAUUUAUUGUCCUUUAAGCAUUAUCUUGAAUCUUCAGGUUAUUCAUUUCUCUUUUAGGUAACUGGAUUUUUGAAAUGCUGUAUCUACUUUCUUAUGUCUUGUUUCUCCUUUCAUGUAAUUUUUGUUCUGUAUGGAGCACCACUGAUAGAGUUGGCAUUGGAAACAUUUUUAUUUGCAGUUAUUUUGUCUACUUUUACUACUGUGCCUUGCUUAUGUUUGUUAGGACCAAACCUCAAAGCAUGGCUAAGAGUGUUCAGUAGAAAUGG